UACAGAGGUCCCAAGCGUUGUUCGGAUUUACUGGGCGUAAAGGGUGCGUAGGUGGUUGGGUAAGUCUGAUGUGAAAUCUCCGGGCUCAACCCGGAAAAUGGCAUUGGAAACUACCUGACUAGAGGGGUUGGAGGGGGGGGACUGGAAAUACUUGGUGUAGCAGUGAAAAUGCGUAGAUAUCAAGUGGAACACCAGUGGCGAAGGCGAGUCCCUGGACAACUCCUGACACUGAGGCACGAAAGCUAGGGGGAGCAAACAGG
rnacentral:rRNA from 1 species